UCAUAGGAGAAUGAAUAACAAGAAAGAAAGAAAAAGAAAACACAGAAGGGGUAACAGAGAAACUGACUUCCACAGACCUAGAGGGAAACGGUUGUUUUUUUAACGGAGGUAGAACAGAUUCGGAGCGCCUUCGAAGAAGAAAGAAGAGCCCCUGACCACACACUGUCCAGAGACGUGGAUCAGGAGGAGUGCCCAGGUUAACCGGCAAGACGAGAGUAAUCAGCGAUUCGGUGAUGAGGCAGGGGCAGGAGGGUGGCUGUCCAAUCGCCUACGCGGAAGGACGUGGAGGAUCAUUCUGCAUCAGAGCAGAUACUCAUCUGGAGGCUACAGACAUGGUUGUGUGAAGCUGACAGAUAGGAUCAUCUGUUUGAAUGCCUCUGGACACCGUGGGAAGACAAAAAAGAUAACUAUUAAAGAAUAUCAAGAGAUUUUGCUCUUGGAGACAUUCAGGUAACUAUUUUAAAUGAAGUGCUGGAUUUUCAGGUGAAGAUGGCAAAAUGAAGCCUUAUCACGGAAUGUUACUCAUGCAAAACCUAAGAAAAAUGGAUACAGUGGGGCAAAAUACACAUACACAAAUUAAAUGCAAAGAGGCAAAUUGAUACGUAAAAUUAAAAACCAGGUAAAAAUUUGCCAUCAACAACAAUUCAAGUAUAUGGGAUAGUGGUAGAUAAGAAACCGAAAAUUCAAAUCAGUCAGGUGAACAUUUUAAUUCUAUUGCUGCCUCCAAAAAGCAGAACUCAGAAGAUCAAUUGAUUAAAUUCUAAGACUUCUCACAAUAUCCUAUAGUUUGGAAAAGGUGGCCCUGAGUAAAACCAAGAGAGAAAACCCUUAAAGGAAAGGUCCCUUUUACACCUGUGGGAUGUUAGCAUGAGUAGGAAGGACUCUGAACCUGCCAUCUUCCAUGGCAAGUGUGUUUCAAGGUAAGUUCACUGGGCUUGGAAUGACCUCCAGAUUGGGCGAGACGGGCUUCUGAAAGAGACAGUCAAUGGGAUGUUUUGUUGGCUUGAUCAUCUGCCUCUCAGGACAAGCAUUUAAGUUCCAGAAAGCAGGGUCCUCUCUGAUAUCUUCGUUGCUAUAUUCCCAAGGCCAAAAUAAAAUAAAAAUAUAUUAAAGACCA
rnacentral:lncRNA from 1 species